rnacentral:rRNA from 1 species
CGCUGGCGGCGUGCCUAACACAUGCAAGUCGAGCGAGGAGAUCCUUCGGGAUGAUCCUAGCGGCGGACGGGUGAGUAACACGUGGGCAACCUGCCUCAUAGAGAGGAAUAGCCUUCCGAAAGGGAGAUUAAUACCUCAUAACAUUGCAGUUUCGCAUGGAACAGCAAUUAAAGGAGUAAUCCGCUAUGAGAUGGGCCCCGCGGCGCAUUAGCUAGUUGGUGAGGUAACGGCUCACCAAGGCGACGAUGCGUAGCCGACCUGAGAGGGUGAUCGGCCACAUUGGGACUGAGGCACGGCCCAGACUCCUACGGGAGGCAGCAGUGGGGAAUAUUGCACAAUGGGGGAAACCCUGAUGCAGCAACGCCGCGUGAGUGAUGACGGCCUUCGGGUUGUAAAGCUCUGUCUUCAGGGACGAUAAUGACGGUACCUGAGGAGGAAGCCACGGCUAACUACGUGCCAGCAGCAGC